rnacentral:rRNA from 1 species
AUCGAAGACCACAUUUUGCAUUAAGCUCCUUUAUACCUUGAAAAAGCUAAGCAGGGUCAGACCUAAUGAGUAUAUGGAUGGCCAACCACCAGAAAAUUCUAGGGCUUUAGGCU